AAAUAAGAAGCAAAAAUUGCAUUUAAUUUCGACUUAAAAUUAGGGUACUUUCCCCUUAUUUA
rnacentral:tRNA from 1 species